rnacentral:lncRNA from 1 species
AUGAGUUCGUGAGUUCGUUCAUUGGACUCUUGUUCGAUCAUCGUCGUUGUCGGCAUUGUCGUCGUCUUCUGUUGUGCACAAUGCAAACUAUUCAUACAACGAUGACGAUGACGAUGACGAUAAUGAUGAUGAUAACGACUGAAACGGCGACACCUUGGCCGGCGCGGUAGUGGUGUCGAUUAAGAAGAUUUUCCUCUUUCCUACUACGUAGAAAAAAAAAAACAACGUGAAACGUGCAUCUGUUGCUUGGAAUAUUGUUAGGAAAAGUGUAAGAAAAAUUCAUUAAACAUAGAACAAAAGGAAGAAAUGGUCUUGUGAUCCCCAUUAGUUAAAAUUAGUCCUUCGAAAAUAAACGAUAAUCGUUGAUACUUUUUUACGUUUAAUCCUCGACAUUUGAUUUCGUAUCGUAAUAAAAGUAUCAUCUAUUUUAAGGACACACUGUAUAGGGAAACAGAGAAAUAAAGAUAUCGAUGUGUGCCGUAAGAGGUGAGAUAUUAAAAAAAAAUAAAUAAAAGGGAGCUACUAUCGUAAUCGUCGAUUCGUGAUUGGUAUUUAAUCUCGGAGUUUUGAAUUAACAAAAACGACGACGACUACGACGACUACGACGACGACAACGACGACGACGACGACGACGACAACAGGGAAAAAGCUGAUUUUCGAGCAGAAGUUGGUGAAGUUUUCAGUGAAAAACAAAAGGGAAAGGGAAGGACCCGGGAAAAGGGAUAUCGAAAGUGAAGGAAUAAAUAGUUGUAGUAGCGGCAAGAAAAAGAA